CAAUAGCGUAUAUUAAAGUUGUUGCAGUUAGAACGCUCGUAGUCGGAUUUCGGGGCGGGUCGACCGGUCUGCCGAUGGGUACGCACUGGCCGACGCGUCCUUCCUUCCGGAGACCGUCCCUACUCUUAACUGAGCGGGGGCGGGAGACGGAACGUUUACUUUGAAAAAAUCAGAGUGUUUCAAGCAGGCAUCUCGCUCUUGCAUGGAUUAGCAUGGGAUAAUGAAAUAGGACUUUGGUGCUAUUUUGUUGGUUUCGAACACCGAAGUAAUGAUGAGAAGGGACAGUCAGGGGCACUCGUAUUCCGCCGAGAGAGGUGAAAUUCUCAGACCAGCGGAAGACGAACCACUGCGAAAGCAUUUGCCAGGGAUGUUUNCACUG
rnacentral:rRNA from 1 species